GCCCGGGUGGCGAAACUGGUAGACGCAAGGGACUUAAAAUCCCUCGGCCGCAAGGCCGUGUCGGUUCGAUCCCGACCCCGGGCACCA
rnacentral:tRNA from 1 species